GCUGGUUCACCAGGGACUGACAUUGCUUCAUGACUCCUGGCUGCUGUGGAAAAGAAUUUUUCCCCUCCUUCCGAUAGCAAGAUGGAGUCUGGCUCUCUGUCGCCCAGGCUGGAGUGCAGUGGCGCCAUCUUGGCUCACUACAACUUCCUCCUCCCACGUUCAAGCGAUUCUCCUGCCUUAGCCUCCCAAGUGCUGGGAUUACAGACAUAGAAAGAGAGAUCCAUGCAGCUCCUCAUGUGAGUGAGAAAUUAAUUCAGCUGUUCCGGAACAAGAGUGAAUUCACCUUUUUGGCCACUGUACAGCAGAAGCCAUCCACUUCAGGAGUGAUGCUGUCCAUUCGAGGACUGGAGCACAGCUAUUUUGAACUGGAGAGCAGCGGCCUGAGGGAUGAGAUUCGGUAUCACUACGUACACAAUGGGAAGCCAAGGACAGAGGCACUUCCUUACCGGAUGGCAGAUGGACGAUGGCACAAGGUUGCACUGUCAGUUAGCGCCUCUCACCUCCUGCUCCAUGUCGACUGUAACAGGAUUUAUGAGCGUGUGAUAGACCCUCCAGAUACCAACCUUCCCCCAGGAAUCAAUUUAUGGCUUGGCCAGCGCAACCAAAAGCAUGGCUUAUUCAAAGGGAUCAUCCAAGAUGGGAAGAUCAUCUUUAUGCCGAAUGGAUAUAUAACACAGUGUCCAAAUCUAAAUCGCACUUGCCCAACCUGCAGUGAUUUCUUAAGCCUGGUGCAAGGAAUAAUGGAUU
rnacentral:sRNA from 1 species